ensembl:lncRNA
UCCAACCUUAGUGAUUCUAUGAUUCUAUGAUUCUAUAAAUGAUGGUUCUGUUAGAGUUCUCUUACAAGUAUGGCUUGAAUUUUGGGUGGUCAUUUGUGCAGCCAGGAGCUGUACUCAAUGACAAGUGUGGGUCCCUUCCAGCUCAGGAUAUUCCAGAAUUCUAUGACGAUGGGCUGAAGGAAUGAAAAGUCUUAUGAAGUAUUAUUAAUGACGAGAAUUUGGUCUAGAUGCGGCACAUGAGGUGUGACUAUCUCAUGUUUUGAUGACUCUACAGUCAUGCAGGGGAAUAGGAACAUGUAUUGUCUUACUUACUGUUGUUUAUAGAUGGAAAGGUUGAUUUGCCAAAUACUAUCUGAAUCACUGACAGUUAAUUAAAGGAAGCCUUUGCUCAUCAGUAGGUCAAAAAGGGUGACAUAUACUUCUCAUCAGUCACAUUUCUCAUUCAGAGUUUCUCAUUCAUACAGUUUCACAGGAGAUUCCUCUGUUAACCAGCUGUUUCAGAAAUGUGUCAUAUGACAAAUGUCAAGACCUGUAUUCUUAUUUUUUUUAACUUUGAACAUAAAAUCUCCAUUGAAUAUAAACAUAAGAUAUUAAAUAUAUUUUUGUGUAUAGCUCUCUACUUAAAUAUAUAUUUAAGUUCUAUUCUGGUUCACUCUGAGGCUUUGCCUCAAGCCUUUCUUAUUCCCAUAGCUUUUCACUGAAAAUUAGAAAAUAUAUAUUGUUAUCCUCCGAGAUGGCUCUCUUCUCAUGUGUAGCAGUUUUGCACUAGCCUUCACAGGAGGAACACUAAAUGAAAUAGAUUGCACAGGUUUCCCAAACAGCCAGAAAGAAAGAAAAUAAAAUAAAUCAAACAAGCAGCAUUUCCGUGAUUAUAUCUGUUUUACAAGCCUAGCGUGGAAUCAGACAAACAACAGUAAGCAUCAGCCUGCAGUUAGAACUAUUUUUGAAAAUACCACUCCUUUCCCCUUGUUCUUUCUGCUCCAAGAGCCCCAUCACAGGCACUGGCACUCAGAGAUAAUCUCCCUGAAUAUCUGAGGCGUAGAAGCCAACAGGAUUAAAGCACCUCGUGCUCCUCAGCACGGUCAUGUGAUGACCUGCUGAUCCCAGCAAAAGGCAUCGUUUCCCAGCAGAGCUCUCACUUAUUUCCCUAGAUGUUGUUCCUGCCUUCCUGAGAUUCUCUGUAGUCAUUACUCUUGUAG